GCUGAGUCGCGGGGAAGUCAAAGAAUUCCGUCAGCGUAGGAUGGAGAAGGAAGCGGUUAACCUUCCACCCUACCACUUCUGGCUCCACCCUUCUCCCUGGAGUCUGGCGGACACCUGGAGGCUCAACACAGACGAAGCGUCGCACACACGGCAUUGACAGACAGACAGACAGACAGGCAGACAAGAAAGGAGGAAUAACGGUGGAAGUGAACUCUCGUGGCACAAGGGAGAAGACACGUCACUGUAGUUCCCGGUUAAGGUCGUGCCAACCUUACCUUCACAGUGCUUAAUUUCCGGGCGCGUGCUGGAGUUGCGGGUGGGUCGUGGUGAUGUGUUCUCUUGAUGUACUGUACUAUCCCCUCAAAUCCUUGAACGUAUUUUGGAAAC